rnacentral:rRNA from 1 species
UACGUAGGGUGCAAGCGUUGUCCGGAAUUAUUGGGCGUAAAGAGCUCGUAGGCGGCUUGUCACGUCGACUGUGAAAACCCGGGGCUCAACUCCGGGCCUGCAGUCGAUACGGGCUGGCUUGAGUGCGGUAGGGGAGACUGGAAUUCCUGGUGUAGCGGUGAAAUGCGCAGAUAUCAGGAGGAACACCGGUGGCGAAGGCGGCGACCUGGGUAGAUACUGACGCUGAGGUGCGAAAGCGUGGGGAGCAAACAGG